ensembl:snoRNA
CUGGCCCUGAAUCAAGGCCGGCAGUUUUCUGGAGCUGUUGGUUUCAAGCAGGAGCCUAGAGAGAUGCCUUUCUAUGGUCUGUUGGCCAUUUCAGAACUUGGCAAAUGGAAUGGUCAAUUCAUUAGAAAGAAACAGUA